UGUAGGUGAACCUUCGGCUGGAUCAUUA
rnacentral:rRNA from 1 species